ensembl:lncRNA
AUGCCUCGGAAAGGUAGGAGAUCCCGGGCUCAAAAAGUUCGUUGGACAAAGUUAGACCUAACAGGACAGAUGAGCGUCAGUAAAGGUGUUGCUCAGGUUUCUGAUGGACAGCAGUACGAAGAUGGCGACAACACAUCUAGAAUUCUAUCCGUGCAGGCGUCUCAUUGCCAGAGUGAUGCAAGGUAUGAUGUUUUCUCACGAAAUCAUCAGUGCACGUGUGUAGCUCUGACAUUCCUUGCGUACCACAGUGAGGGAACUUUGUUCGAACAGCCUGAUCUUGACAGGGUGCUAGAGGAAGGGGAUGCUUUGUAUGUCGGCAUUAAAAUGCAGCUUAUUGCUGAAGGAAGAUUCCAACAGGAUCUUUUAAGCAUGGCUGAAGUACCUGUGAGCAUCACAACUUCUAACCACACCUACAGCGUCCAAAAGUCAGAAGUGGUGAUGGGAUAUCUGAGAGACAGAGGAACUCAGGAAAUGGACGCGUGGUGGAUUCCUCUUGAUGAAAGACUUCAGUGUCUUUCAACAGAUGUCAGCCAUGCACUGCUUAUUGUUUCUCCAGAAUGCUUUGCUGUGUUCAGAGAUGGAUCUGGAAGAUAUGGAUUUUUUGAUUCCCAUUCCAGAACUGCUGAAGGUUUGCAACAUCCUACUGGUGAAGGAACCGCAGUUAUGCUAACUUUCACCAACCUGCAUGACAUGACCAACAGAUUACUUGAGCUUUUUUGGAAUCGUGGUCCUCAAGCUUGCUAUGAAUUCAUGGCUGUUUCAUUUGAAAUGGAGCAACAGUAUGAGGAACCAUGCUCAUCAUCAGCAUGUGUGACACCAUCACAAGUAACUUCAACUCUGCCAAAAACACAAACAAAUGCUGACGUCAGAAUCCCUGAAAAUCUUGUUCUUACAGAUGACAGAAACCAAAGUGUCAUAAAAGUUUUAAAAACAAACAAGCAGCGAAGAAGAAAACAAGUGCGUAAAAUUGCAAAUGAAAAGCAAAAAGCAAGACUUAAGAAAACCGCUCCACAUUUUGAAGUCCGGGAUCAAAAAAGACGAGAAUAUGAGAGAGAGAAAUAUGCCACCAAUUUGUAUUUUCGGAAGAAGAAAAUGGAGGUCACCAAAAAGAAGUAUGCUCAAGAUUCUUUUGCCAGAUUCAAAAAGGUAGAGUACAUGACCAAGAGGUACAACACUGAUGUUCUCUUCCAGAAAAAGAGGAAAGAGUACAUAAUCAAGAGGUACCACACUGAUGCUCUUUUCCAGAGGAAAAUGAAGAACUACAUGGACAGGAGGUACAAGACAGAUGCUCUUUUCCAGAAGAAAAAGAAGGACUACAUGGUCAGGAGGUAUCGCAUGGAUGCUUUUUUCCAGAAGAAAAUGAAGGACUACAUGGUCAGGAGGUACCACACUGAUGCUCUUUUCCAGAACAAAAUGAAGGACUACAUGGCCAGAAGAUAUGCAAGUGAUUCAGAGUUUAGGUCACAUCAUAUUCUACGUUGUACUCUCCAGAAGAAACAGAAGUGUCUCACUGAUGCAGGAUUCCACAUUCUUCACAAGUUGAGGUGUGCAUUAAGGAUCAAGAGAAAAUACAAGCCAUACAUUCGUUUCAGCCAGGAUACACCUAAUUCUGAUGUGACAAACCAGCCUGUGUCCAACAGCAUAAUGCAAAAGGCCAUAUCUGCAUUUCGGUGUCAAAUUCUGCAUGGUCCCACUUACAUCUGCACAGUCUGUCACAGGACCCUUUUUCCAAACCAAGUCAAGAUGUGUAAAAGAACACGAUAUGUCAAAAAUGUUCAUAUUACAGCCUCUUGCUUAACCGGGAAAUAUGUUCAUGCUUGUGACGGUGCCUGCUCAGUUUCUUGUGCAGUUCCAGAAGAGCGAAGACAGGAGUGGAUCUGCCACACCUGUGACAAUCAUCUGAAGAGAGGAUCCAUGCCUUCUAUUGCAGCGGCAAACAGACUUGAAUUGCCUCCCAUCCCUACAGAACUGCUUGAACUGAAUGUUCUUGAACGACAGCUUAUUGCCAAAAUCGUUCCUUUUGCAAAAAUAGUUGCAUUGCCCAAAGGACAGCAAAGAUCAGUGUAUGGUGCUGUUGUGUGUGUGCCCUCUGAGGUGGAGAAAACAGUCAACUGUCUGCCAAGGCCUAACAGUGAGUCCCAGCUACUACAGGUGAAGCUGAAAAGACACAUCAAGUUCAGAGGAUACCAACACUUCCAUACAGUAAAUAUGCACAAUGUGCUAGCAGCGUUAGCAAAACUGAAAGCAAUGCAUUCAGAAUACAGGGACAUCUUGAUUAGUGACGCUGCCACAUUUGAAUUU